rnacentral:rRNA from 1 species
UGGGGAAUAUUGCACAAUGGGCGCAAGCCUGAUGCAGCGACGCCGCGUGAGGGAUGACGGCCUUCGGGUUGUAAACCUCUUUCGCCAGGGACGAAGCGCAAGUGACGGUACCUGGAGAAGAAGGACCGGCCAACUACGUGCCAGCAGCCGCGGUAAUACGUAGGGUCCGAGCGUUGUCCGGAAUUACUGGGCGUAAAGAGCUCGUAGGUGGUUUGUCGCGUUGUUCGUGAAAACUCACAGCUCAACUGU